rnacentral:rRNA from 1 species
GACGAACGCUGGCGGCGUGCUUAACACAUGCAAGUCGAACGGAAAGGCCCUGCUUGCAGGGUACUCGAGUGGCGAACGGGUGAGUAACACGUGGGUGAUCUGCCCUGCACUUCGGGAUAAGCCUGGGAAACUGGGUCUAAUACCGGAUAGGAGCCAUUUUUAGUGUGAUGGUUGGAAAGUUUUUUCGGUGUAGGAUGAGCUCGCGGCCUAUCAGCUUGUUGGUGGGGUAAUGGCCUACCAAGGCGGCGACGGGUAGCCGGCCUGAGAGGGUGGACGGCCACACGGGAAGUGAGAAACGGGCCAGAGUACUACGGGAGGCAGAAGGAGGGAAGCUGCAGCAAGGGGCGGAAGACUGACGGAGCAGCGGAGAGUGAGUGAUGAAGGGCUGCGGAAUGUAAAACUCGGUUAGGAGGGAAGAACAAAUGCGUAAGCAACUAGGCACGUCGUGACGGUACAGAAGCAGAACGCAACGGCUAACGAAGUG